CAUCCGGUCUUGAGGUGAUUCCUCGAAGUGCGGUCCCACCAUGGCUAAGCACUUAAGAAAGACAGCAAUGUUUGAACUUUCACUUUUACCUCUGUGUUUUCCAUAUAAACUAAGAAGGUCUACAAUGUGUGGUACGCAAGAGACUCCUCCUGUUCUCAUAAAUAAUCUUCAACAUGCUCAGUGCCCAGUAGCCACUCUUUGGGGAGUCAAUGACCCAGUGGUAUUAUCACUAGGUUGUUAAUCCAGAGACCGAGGUAACUUGGAACUGGGAACAAGUUCAGGAGGGACAGAAGUGUUCAGUUCUUCCCCAGCUCAGGAGUGGUCUCUGUUUUCUGCAAUCAAAACUCACUGUAAACUUGAAGAAAGCCAGUUAUCUUUCUUGCAAUUGUUACUGUAAUCAAUGACUUUUGACUGAUAAAUCAGGGACUUUUUAAUAAUGGGAAUAUAAUACAAAAGAUAUAUAACAUUUUAAUAAAAUUGUGUCUCUCAUCAAUCAGUGAAAGUAACUGGAGAAAGACAUCUGAAUCAAUGUACUAACCUGCAGAAAACAAUCAUAAGGAUCAGCUGAACAACAGUACCUGGGGACAAAGACAACUGAAUUAUCUUUCCAGUUUUUGUCCCUCAACAUUACCUUGUUACCUAUUUGGGUGUCUGCAUAUGUAAAGGGGGUAUUUAUUAGAGGAUGAGAGAUUUAAUUAGUCGUGUACACUGACAGUUUAUAAUUGUUUACCUGCAGC